CACGUAGGGGGCAAGCGUUGUCCGGAAUUAUUGGGCGUAAAGAGCUCGUAGGCGGCUCGGUAAGUCAGGUGUCAAAUCCUCAGGCUCAACCUGGGGCUCCACCUGAUACUGCUGUGGCUAGAGUCCGGUAGGGGAGCGUGGAAUUCCUGGUGUAGCGGUGAAAUGCGUAGAUAUCAGGAGGAACACCUGUGGCGAAAGCGGCUCACUGGACCACAACUGACGCUGAGGCGCGAAAGCUAGGGGAGCAAACAGG
rnacentral:rRNA from 1 species